rnacentral:piRNA from 1 species
UGGUCUUCAAUAAGGAAAUACCAAUGGUACC